UAGAUAUUAUAUUCCGUCAUA
rnacentral:piRNA from 1 species